GUGGGGAAUUUUGGACAAUGGGGGCAACCCUGAUCCAGCCAUGCCGCGUGCGGGAAGAAGGCCUUCGGGUUGUAAACCGCUUUUAGCCGGGACGAAAGCUGCACGGAUAACACCCGUGCGGGUUGACGGUACCGGCGGAAUAAGCACCGGCUAACUACGUGCCAGCAGCCGCGGUAAUACGUAGGGUGCGAGCGUUAAUCGGAAUUACUGGGCGUAAAGCGUGCGCAGGCGGUUCGUUGUGUCGGCGGUGAAAGCCCCGGGCUCAACCUGGGAAUGGCCGUUGAAACUGGCGAACUGGAGUGUGGCAGAGGGGGGUGGAAUUCCGCGUGUAGCAGUGAAAUGCGUAGAGAUGCGGAGGAACACCGAUGGCGAAGGCAGCCCCCUGGGCUGACACUGACGCUCAGGCACGAAAGCGUGGGGAGCAAACAGGAUUAGAUACCCCAGUAGUCC
rnacentral:rRNA from 1 species